rnacentral:lncRNA from 1 species
GCCAUUUUGAAACGAACAGACUCCAAAAGCACGCUCCACUGGGCCUGCCCCUGCGAUCUUAAAACAGAUGUCCGUGAAAUGUGACCCAUGAAUAGCAGUUAUCUGGAGAGAGAGCUCUGAAGCUGAUGAAACCAUUAGAGCCACUGAAGGCACCUGGUAAAUGCGAUGCGGGGAGUACAGAAGAGAGAAUCAGAAACACACCGGCACUCUCAUUCCCAUGAGGCCACUUACAGUGGGUAAAACGUCGCUUGAGAAGAGCGGCCUAAAAACAAGAACGUCUGCCCUCUUCCUUCUUAACCAAGACUGAGAUGAGGACAAGUCAGACCCUUCAGACCCAUCGUUUCAGGGACCAGCAGCUCCAGCCUGAAUGAGAAGCACGUCCUCCUGGGAGUUACGUCAGCAGCCUGACCUUCCAUCUUCCUCCUCUAAAGAAGCGUCCCUGCCACCCUGAGCACGAAGCCCUCGGGUUCCUAAAGGCCGAGGCGCUUCUUCUCAUUUACUUCCCUUGAGGAAGAAAGACCAGCCCAUCCACCCUCAUUUCCCACCGAAGGGCAUCGCAAAUAAAGUUUGCCCACGCAACCAGGCCACCACCAUUAAUUUCUCUCUGCCCUGCUCUUACAUUCUCCUCAAGGUUUUCAGUCCCCUAGAGAGGCUCCCUUCCCUCUUUUCUUUCCUUCCUCCAGCCCCCCUUUUCACCUCCCUCCACCAUUGUUUGAGGUUAAGAAGCAUGCUACGGUGUUCUAUAAAUCACUUGGCAAGAGUAGACGACAAAAGCAAAAUAUAAUUCAGAUUAAAGUCAUCCUCCCGCUGAAAUGAUAGUUUCUUAAAUAAAUGGC